UCUCUCGUAUGUCUCUUUCUCUCCUUCCCUCUUCUCUCUUCUUUCUUCUCAAACCCUAAAAAUGUCUGAACAAAAAAAGCCACAGACUCACAUCCCCCGCCGUCGCACACCCAGAUCGCGCUGGGACUCCAAUCCCCGCCGUCGCCUCUUUCUCAUGUCACCACUGAUUUCGGUUCAUCAACAAACCCUAACACUACCGCCACCCUCCUUUCUCCACCAUAGAUUUACCCCUUUUUUUUGCAAAUUUAUAUAAGUGCAUCACAUCCAUUUACUACCCAUUAUUUUCAUUCCUGAACAUUAGAGAUCUACAAAUCUCAAAGAAGAAUAAACGAAAGUUGUGAGAUGGUGAAGUUGCAACAAUGACAGAUCCGUUUUGUUGAUUCUUGCAGUAGUGGAAAACGACACGGUUUAUGGAUUUACAUUAGAGAGGAUAAAUAAUGGAACAGGCAGAGGGAAUAUUCCAUCAUCAUUAUUACAGAUGAGGAAAGAAUUUAGCAGCGAAGUUGAGCCAACAAUUGCAGCAAUGCGAGGGCUUUUGGCUAUUACAUCUAGCAGUCAAUCGGUUCCUACUACUAUGUUCCAACUUAUUGCUCAUGAAGCUAAAAAAUCCAGUACAAAGGGUCGCAUUUUAAGAGUGAUGAGUAAUGGCUGCAACUAAUGGUUUGUCAAAUCACUUCAUGUUGUAACUCAGCAAUUGGUGUUUCUUUGGUGUGUCUGGUGUUGGUAUUGCAAUGGCAACAUAUGAGGCUUUUGUUGGAAUAGUUUUUAUAGGAUGGUGUAGAGGGGAAUUUAGCAGAGGUAGGCAGCAAAGAGGACAAUCCUUUCCAAAGAUGGACCUUAUGCAAACAUACUUUUUACGAUUUAGCAUAUGUCUUUCCCGCGGUGUUUAUGUUUAUGCUUAAGGAAUGUUAUUAUGGUAUGAUUUUUCCAGUUUAAAGCUAACGUAUGUUUUCUAUAGUAAUAUAAGAUAUUGAGUACCAAUUAUUUUCUAAAAUGACUCAAAAUUAUCACUUCAAGCAACUGUAAAGUGACUGAAAUUCUAAUCACUUCAAGAACUAUGUGUGGUGCUCCUUAAUGAUCCAAAUUAUCAUUUUUCUGACUUAUUAUCAUUUUUCUGACUUUGUGC